UACGUAGGCAGCAAGCGUUGUUCGGAUUUACUGGGCGUAAAGAGUGCGUAGGUGGUGCCCUAAGUCUGUUGUGAAAUCUCCCGGCUUAACUGGGAGGGUGCGGUGGAAACUGGGGUGCUUGAGUGUGGGAGAGGUAAGCGGAAUUCCUGGUGUAGCGGUGAAAUGCGUAGAUAUCAGGAGGAACACCGGUGGCGAAGGCGGGUCUCUGGGCCGUAACUGACGCUGAGGAGCGAAAGCAUGGGGAGCGAACAGG
rnacentral:rRNA from 1 species